rnacentral:rRNA from 2 species
UGAUGUUAGCGGCGGACGGGUGAGUAACACGUGGGUAACCUGCCUGUAAGACUGGGAUAACUCCGGGAAACCGGGGCUAAUACCGGAUGGUUGUUUGAACCGCAUGGUUCAAACAUAAAAGGUGGCUUCGGCUACCACUUACAGAUGGACCCGCGGCGCAUUAGCUAGUUGGUGAGGUAACGGCUCACCAAGGCAACGAUGCGUAGCCGACCUGAGAGGGUGAUCGGCCACACUGGGACUGAGACACGGCCCAGACUCCUACGGGAGGCAGCAGUAGGGAAUCUUCCGCAAUGGACGAAAGUCUGACGGAGCAACGCCGCGUGAGUGAUGAAGGUUUUCGGAUCGUAAAGCUCUGUUGUUAGGGAAGAACAAGUACCGUUCGAAUAGGGCGGUACCUUGACGGUACCUAACCAGAAAGCCACGGCUAACUACGUGCCAGCAGCCGCGGUAAUACGUAGGUGGCAAGCGUUGUCCGGAAUUAUUGGGCGUAAAGGGCUCGCAGGCGGUUUCUUAAGUCUGAUGUGAAAGCCCCCGGCUCAACCGGGGAGGGUCAUUGGAAACUGGGGAACUUGAGUGCAGAAGAGGAGAGUGGAAUUCCACGUGUAGCGGUGAAAUGCGUAGAGAUGUGGAGGAACACCAGUGGCGAAGGCGACUCUCUGGUCUGUAACUGACGCUGAGGAGCGAAAGCGUGGGGAGCGAACAGGAUUAGAUACCCUGGU